GGUAUCCUACGGGGGGCAGCAGUAGGGAAUCUUCCACAAUGGGCGAAAGCCUGAUGGAGCAACGCCGCGUGGGUGAAGAAGGUCUUCGGAUCGUAAAACCCUGUUGUUAGAGAAGAAAGUGCGUGAGAGUAACUGUUCACGUUUCGACGGUAUCUAACCAGAAAGCCACGGCUAACUACGUGCCAGCAGCCGCGGUAAUACGUAGGUGGCAAGCGUUAUCCGGAUUUAUUGGGCGUAAAGAGAACGCAGGCGGUCGUUUAAGUCUGAAGUGAAAGCCUUCGUCUUAACCGGCGU
rnacentral:rRNA from 1 species